GAGUUUGAUCCUGGCUCAGGACGAACGCUGGCGGCAUGCCUAACACAUGCAAGUCGAACGAGAAAGUUCCUUCGGGAGCGAUUAGAGUGGCGCACGGGUGAGUAACGCGUAGACAAUCUGCCCUUCAGUCUGGGACAACUUUUCGAAAGGAGAGCUAAUACCGGAUAACAAUGUUUAACAUAAGUUAAAUAUUUGAAAGCUUUAUGUGCUGAAGGAGGGGUCUGCGUCCCAUUAGCUAGUUGGUAAGGUAAAGGCUUACCAAGGCAACGAUGGGUAGCGGGUUUGAGAGGACGAUCCGCCACACUGGAACUGAGACACGGUCCAGACUCCUACGGGAGGCAGCAGUGGGGAAUAUUGCACAAUGGAGGAAACUCUGAUGCAGCAAUGUCGCGUGAGUGAAGAAGGCCCUUGGGUCGUAAAGCUCUUUUAUGGGGGAAGAUGAUGACGGUACCCCAAGAAUAAGCACCGGCUAACUAUGUGCCAGCAGCCGCGGUAAUACAUAGGGUGCGAGCGUUGUUCGGAAUUACUGGGCGUAAAGGGCGCGCAGGCGGAAUAGUAAGUCGGAGGUGAAAGCCCGGGGCUCAACCCCGGAGGGUCUUUCGAAACUGCUAAUCUAGAGAGGGUCAGGGGCCGGCAGAAUUCCUGGUGUAGAGGUGAAAUUCGUAGAUAUCAGGAGGAAUACCGGUGGCGAAGGCGGCCGGCUGGGGCCACUCUGACGCUGAGGCGCGAAAGCGUGGGGAGCAAACAGGAUUAGAUACCCUGGUAGUCCACGCCGUAAACGAUGAGCACUGGACGUCCGGAGGGUUCGACCCUUCUGGGUGUCUCAGCUAACGCAUUAAGUGCUCCGCCUGGGGAGUACGGUCGCAAGACUAAAACUCAAAGGAAUUGACGGGGGCCCGCACAAGCGGUGGAACAUGUGGUUUAAUUCGAUGCAACGCGAAGAACCUUACCUGGUCUUGACAUCCUCGGACCGCUUCAGAGAUGAAGUUUCCUCUUCGGAGGCCGAGUGAUAGGUGCUGCAUGGCUGUCGUCAGCUCGUGUCGUGAGAUGUUGGGUUAAGUCCCGCAACGAGCGCAACCCUCUCCUUUAGUUGUCAGCAUUUAGUUGGGCACUCUAAAGGGACUGCCGGUGAUAAGCCGGAGGAAGGUGGGGAUGACGUCAAGUCCUCAUGGCCCUUAUGGGCUGGGCUACACACGUGCUACAAUGGCGCUGACAGAGGGCAGCUAACUCGCGAGAGUAAGCUAAUCCCUAAAAGGCGCCUCAGUUCAGAUUGCACUCUGCAACUCGAGUGCAUGAAGUUGGAAUCGCUAGUAAUCGUGGAUCAGCAUGCCACGGUAAAUACGUUCCCGGGCCUUGUACUCACCGCCCGUC
rnacentral:rRNA from 1 species